rnacentral:rRNA from 1 species
UACGUAGGCAGCAAGCGUUGUUCGGAGUUACUGGGCGUAAAGGGUGCGUAGGCGGCUUUUAAGUUUGGUGUGAAAUCUCCCGGCUCAACUGGGAGGGUGCGCCGAAUACUGAGAGGCUAGAGUGCGGGAGAGGAAAGUGGAAUUCCUGGUGUAGCGGUGAAAUGCGUAGAUAUCAGGAGGAACACCGGUGGUGUAAACGGCUUCUGGACCGUAACUGACGCUGAGGCACGAAAGCGUGGGUAGCAAACAGG